UACAUUAUAGCCCUUUAUAGCUGACUCAGAAGCUUCUUACGGUAAAGGGCAGAUUCUUCUUAUCUGUGUCUUUCAAGUAAAUUAUUGUCUUAUUAUCAUUUAUUAUUGGGAUCUGGAGUUUCAGUUCGUAACUCUACAGUUAUGGACUCAAGAGCUGUUGUCUGGUUGUGGAUGCUGCUGUCCUCCACCUGCUCUGGAAUUAAACUGGAGAGAAAUGGAUACACUGAUAUUUUGGUGGCGAUCAGUUCAGCAGUAAAGCAGGACAACAGAAUCAUUGAUAAAAUAAAGGACAUGUUUACUGAGGGCUCUCCAUAUCUUUUUGAAGCAAUGGAGAAAAGGGUCUAUUUCAAGGACAUUACAAUAUAAGUACCAGCUCAAUGGAACAGCACCGAGUUUAACAAAUCAAGAACAGAAUCCUUUGAGAAGGCCAGAAUAAGAAUUGAUAAUCCAGCGCGUGGUGAUGAUCCGUACACUAACCAGUAUGAAGAUUGUGGAUCAGAGAGUCCAUACAUU